rnacentral:rRNA from 1 species
GUAGUCCACGCGGUAAACGAUGGAUGCUCGCUGUUUGCGUCUGACGUAAGCGGCCAAGCGAAAGCGUUAAGCAUCCCACCUGGGGAGUACGCCGGCAACGGUGAAACUCAAAGGAAUUGACGGGGGCCCGCACAAGCGGAGGAACAUGUGGUUUAAUUCGAUGAUACGCGAGGAACCUUACCCGGGCUUGAACUGUAGGCGAACGAUUCAGAGAUGAUGAGGCCCUUCGGGGCGCCUAUGGAGGUGCUGCAUGGUUGUCGUCAGCUCGUGCCGUGAGGUGUCGGCUUAAGUGCCAUAACGAGCGCAACCCCUGUUCUCAGUUGCCAUCGGGUAAUGCCGGGCACUCUGUG